AGAGGAGAGACAGGAGAGACAGGAGAGAGAGGAGAGACAGGCUGAGGUGUGUGUUGUGUCAAAGUCAACUCUCAGAGACUGGGACAGACCUAGAGAGAGAGGAGAGAGAGGAGAGACAGGAGAGACAGGCUGAGGUGUGUGUUGUGUCAAAGUCAACUCUCAGAGACUGGGACAGACCUAGAGAAAGAGAAAGAGAGAGGGAGGAAUGAAGGGGGGUGGAGAGGGAGGGAAGGAGGGGGGAGCGAGAGAGGGACAGAGAUAGAGAGAGAGAAAGAGAAUAACAUUUUUAAUACAAUGGUAGACCUAUAAUGAAUAAUGUUGUGAAAUACAUGGUUCCCCUCUGAGCAAGACAUAUCACUAGGGUCAACAAAACCCUACAAGCUGUCAGCUGGAAUAACAUGCAACAAGAUACCACACUGGCUGAAUAACUGUGUGUGUCCCUAUGGAGGUUUAGGAAUAGAGUUGUCUUUCUGGUUUCUAUGGAGGUUUAGGAAUAGAGUUGUCUCUCUGGUUUCUAUGGAGGUUUAGGAAUAGAGUUGUCUCUCUGGUUUCCAUGGAGGUUUAGGAAUAGAGUUGUCUCUCUGGUUUCUAUGGAGGUUUAGGAAUAGAGUUGUCUCUGGUUUCUAUGGAGGUUUAGGAAUAGAGUUGUCUCUGGUUUCUAUGGAGGUUUAGGAAUAGAGUUGUCUCUCUGGUUUCUAUGGAGGUUUAGGAAUAGAGUUGUCUCUCUGGUUUCUAUGGAGGUUUAGGAAUAGAGUUGUCUCUCUGGUUUCUAUGGAGGUUUAGGAAUAGAGUUGUCUCUCUGUAGUACAUUGGUAUGUUAGUAAAGAGCUGUUUUCUACGGUGAUAAAGUUCUGUUUAUAUCUCCAUGGU